UGCCAGCAGCCGCGGUAAUACGUAGGGUGCAAGCGUUGCUCGGAAUCAUUGGGCGUAAAGCGCGUGUAGGUUGUUUUGCAAGUCGGAUGCGAAAGCCCCGGGCUCAACCCGGGAAGAGCAUCCGAAACUACAUUACUAGAGGACAGUAGAGGAAGGUGGAAUUCCAGGUGUAGAGGUGAAAUUCGUAGAUAUCUGGAGGAAUACCGGCGGCGAAGGCGGCCUUCUGGGCUGUUCCUGACACUCAGACGCGAAAGCGUGGGUAGCAAACAGGAUUAGAUA
rnacentral:rRNA from 1 species